UACGUAGGGACCGAGCGUUGUCCGGAAUCAUUGGGCGUAAAGAGCGUGUAGGCGGCCUUUUAAGUCCUGCGUGAAAUCCUGCGGCUCAACCGCAGACGGUCGUGGGAAACUGGAAGGCUAGAGUGCGGGAGGGGAGACUGGAAUUCCUGGUGUAGCGGUGAAAUGCGCAGAUAUCAGGAGGAGCACCGGUGGCGAAGGCGGGUCUCUGGGCCGAUAUUGACGCUGAGGAGCGAAAGCGUGGGGAGCGAACAGG
rnacentral:rRNA from 1 species